AGACAAGUCCAGGGACAAUAAACUCACAACUAUGCCAGAGAAAGACGAGCCACCUACGCUAGAAGAGUUAAAGUUAUGGGGUGAAUCUUUUGAGAAACUAAUGAAGUGUUCAGGAGGACGGAAGUUAUUUCGGGAAUUCCUCAGGUCGGAAUACAGUGAAGAGAACAUGUUGUUUUAUUUGGCAUGUGAGGACCUCAAGAAGGAGGA
rnacentral:sRNA from 1 species